rnacentral:rRNA from 1 species
UACGUAGGGUGCAAGCGUUGUCCGGAAUUAUUGGGCGUAAAGGGCUCGUAGGCGGUUUGUCGCGUCGGAAGUGAAAACACGGGGCUUAACUCUGUGCUUGCUUUCGAUACGGGCAGACUAGAGGGAUGCAGGGGAGAACGGAAUUCCUGGUGUAGCGGUGAAAUGCGCAGAUAUCAGGAGGAACACCGGUGGCGAAGGCGGUUCUCUGGGCAUUCCCUGACGCUGAGGAGCGAAAGUGUGGGGAGCGAACAGG